rnacentral:lncRNA from 1 species
CAGAGACGUUGGGAUCCUGAGUGAAGACGCAUCUUUCGACAGGCUUGUGAUUUUAGGAAAGGGCUCAGCAAGCUGAACACCAUAGAAAAGUCACUAGUGACCUUCAUGUAACGUUCAUCACUCAGGAUAACGGUCUACUGCAACAUCUUGAAGCGGUCAUCACAUGAAAAGUUACAUCCUCAUGGGCAACAUCAAAGGGCAGGGUGAUCAUUUUCUUUGUGGAGGAUGAGCAGCUGGACAGAGUGCUGGGCUUCUUGACAAGCCUGGUUGAAGCACAGACAACCAGGUGUCACAAUCACGUGGCAUUUGUUAUGGAUGUGCUUCUGCCAGAGUUACCUGUUGAGGUGUGUUUUCCUUCAGUCUGGAGUCCUGAGGAGAAAUUCAGAAAAGGAAAAUCAAUAUAAAGCAGCUUUUUGAUUGGAGGACAGCUGUGGACCGAACCAACACUCUCAGGUUGUUUUGUGAAAAAUGUUCUUGGGCCUCAGAUAAAUUUCAGUGGAAGCCCUCUGGAGUCAUUUUACCAGUUCAUUACAGGUGAGAUGAACAUUUGAACACACAAGUCGGCAGACUGGUUCAUAAAGGGUUAAAGUUAUAGUCUUAACAUUUUAAGAAGUAUGCUCAUUCAACUUCAUUUCAUUUAUAAAUUUACAUCAUAAAUGGAGUGUCGGGGCCUUGUUUAACCAGUCCAUUCAGCCUCUAUCCCAGUGUAACCAGUACCCUCAGCCUGUCUGUCCUUGUAUAAUAUAUUGUACAAUAAUUGAACAUAUAUUUUUAGGAGUUCAUACGGUUCGUGUCUCAUGGUGGACUAUUUGUAUUGCUUUUUGAUCAUCUGCAUCUCUUCUGGUUGAUAAGGACACUGAUAAACUUCUCUUUUUUAAAAUAGAUAACAGGAAGUGGUUCCGUUGCUAGGUUGAGCUGUUUUUUCUCAGAUUCAUGCUUUCAUUUUGCCUCAUAGAAAAU